AUACGGAGGGUGCGAGCGUUAAUCGGAAUUACUGGGCGUCAAGGGUGCGUAGGCGGCUUGAUAAGUCGGAUGUGAAAGCCCCGGGCUUAACCUGGGAAUUGCAUUCGAUACUGUCAGGCGAGAGUAUGUCAGAGGUUGGCGGAAUUCCUGGUGUGGCGGUGAAAUGCGUAGAUAUCAGGAGGAACACCAGUGGCGAAGGCGGCUAACUGGGGCAAUACUGACGCUGAGGCACGAAAGCGUGGGGAGCAAACGGAAUUAGAAACCCUAGUAGUCC
rnacentral:rRNA from 1 species